AGGAAGUGAUGACCGGACGAAGAGGUACGAAGUUGUUUACACCCGGCAUUAACAUGUGCUCUGUGACUGCAUGCACUAUGUGGAUAAUUGCAUCCGAUUCAUCAAUCUGUGUGUUCACACGUUGGUUUGAUGAUGAAUAAACAGGACUGGAGUCAGCCCUGCAGCUCAAACAAGCCCCGCAGAGACACGUCCAGUCGAAGCAGCAGCCGUCGAGUCCACUGCAGCCCGAGGCUGCACAGGCACAUCAUCAUCUGCAAUGGGAUCAUGGAGCAUCAGUUACACGUCUCCACCGGGGUGGGAAAUGAAAGAGGGGCGAUUUUACGUUACCAUCACUGGCUGACGACUCAGCAUGAGGCCAAUUAAACGUGAAGCUUGUGAAGUGUUGCGCAGCACCACAAGCGGCUUGGUGGCAGGACCUCUAAUGUGCUGCUCUGACUGAACCAAGAGCACAGAUCUGUACUGAAAUCAGCAGGAGAGCUGGUCAACCGUUAGCCCUUAGCAGCCUGCAGUGCUACAGUGUUCAGCUAACCAAUUCUGUCUAAUUCACUUUUCUGUUCUGUUUAUUCUGUUAAUUCCGUUCAGUUUACACAGGUAACUCUUCAUUAACGAAACAUUUUGAUUGGUGAUCUGCCAACACUGAGCCCAACAGAUUCCUGUCAUUCACUGAAGCUCACUCUUUCUUUAAUUCUCACUUUCAGAGUAUGACAAUCCAAUCCACCUUUGAGGGCUGUAAUGUUGCAUGUUUUUUAUAUGAUUGUGAUUUGAGCUCCCCUCCCUGCAGCUGCUGAGAG